CCUACGGGGGGCAGCAGUGAGGAAUAUUGGUCAAUGGCCGGGAGGCUGAACCAGCCAAGUCGCGUGAGGGAAGACGGCCCUACGGGUUGUAAACCUCUUUUGUCAGGGAGCAAGGUGCAGGUCGGGACCUGCUGUGCGAGUACCUGACGAAAAAGCAUCGGCUAACUCCGUGCCAGCAGCCGCGGUAAUACGGAGGAUGCGAGCGUUAUCCGGAUUUAUUGGGUUUAAAGGGUGCGCAGGCGGAGGCACAAGUCAGCGGUAAAAUCGCGGGGCUCAACCCCGCUCCGCCGUGGAAACUGUGGCCAGUGAGUGCGCGAAGGGUAGGCGGAAUGCGUGGUGUAGCGGUGAAAUGCAUAGAUAUCACGCAGAACUCCGAUCGCGAGGGCAGCCUACCGGCGCGCAACUGACGCUCAUGCACGAAAGCGUGGGUAUCGAACAGGAUUAGAUACCCUAGUAGUC
rnacentral:rRNA from 1 species